rnacentral:rRNA from 1 species
CGACGAACUCUUCGGAGUUAGUGGCGGACGGGUGAGUAACACGUGGGAACGUGCCUUUAGGUUCGGAAUAACUCAGGGAAACUUGUGCUAAUACCGAAUGUGCCCUUCGGGGGAAAGAUUUAUCGCCUUUAGAGCGGCCCGCGUCUGAUUAGCUAGUUGGUGAGGUAAAGGCUCACCAAGGCGACGAUCAGUAGCUGGUCUGAGAGGAUGAUCAGCCACAUUGGGACUGAGACACGGCCCAAACUCCUACGGGAGGCAGCAGUGGGGAAUCUUGCGCAAUGGGCGAAAGCCUGACGCAGCCAUGCCGCGUGAAUGAUGAAGGUCUUAGGAUUGUAAAAUUCUUUCACCGGGGACGAUAAUGACGGUACCCGGAGAAGAAGCCCCGGCUAACUUCGUGCCAGCAGCCGCGGUAAUACGAAGGGGGCUAGCGUUGCUCGGAAUUACUGGGCGUAAAGGGAGCGUAGGCGGACAUUUAAGUCAGGGGUGAAAUCCCGGGGCUCAACCUCGGAAUUGCCUUUGAUACUGGGUGUCUUGAGUAUGAGAGAGGUGUGUGGAACUCCGAGUGUAGAGGUGAAAUUCGUAGAUAUUCGGAAGAACACCAGUGGCGAAGGCGACACACUGGCUCAUUACUGACGCUGAGGCUCGAAAGCGUGGGGAGCAAACAGGAUUAGAUACCCUGGUAGUCCACGCCGUAAACGAUGAUUGCUAGUUGUCGGGAUGCAUGCAUUUCGGUGACGCAGCUAACGCAUUAAGCAAUCCGCCUGGGGAGUACGGUCGCAAGAUUAAACUCAGGAAU